rnacentral:rRNA from 1 species
UAGCCGUAAACGAUACUCGCUAGGUGUCGGCCACGGUGCGACCGUUGUCGGUGCCGUAGGGAAGCCGUGAAGCGAGCCACCUGGGAAGUACGGCCGCAAGGCUGAAACUUAAAGGAAUUGGCGGGGGAGCACCCAACGGGUGGAGCUUGCGGUUUAAUUGGAUUCAACGCCGGAAAUCUUACCGGGACCGACAGCAACAUGAAGGCCAGGCUGAAGACUUUGCCGGAUUAGCUGAGAGGAGGUGCAUGGCGUAGUCGUGU